rnacentral:lncRNA from 1 species
CUUGGGAGCACUAUACUGAGAGCUAGAACAGCAAAACACAGUAGUCCCAAAAAAGAGAGUAAGAGAGAGCAGCCCAUCUAAUAGAGUGUCCCGGAGGCCAGCGCCAGCGGGUGCUGUAAGGAGCCCGGCGGCGGCAGGUGGGAAUUGAUUGAGCUGGCUGCACUUGUGUACCAGGAUGCAGAGUUCUCCAGGCCCCAGCUGGGUUGGAGGAGUAAAAGGAAUGGGACAAUCCAGGAAGACUUCUCACGUACAAUAGCGCCCCCCACCUCGCGACCCUUCGGUGGCCGUGGCCUGAAGCUCCCGUAGGCUCAGGGCACGACCCUUCAGUUUCUCCGCUCCAGGCGACGUUCUCAGCCUUUUCUUAGCCUGAGACCACCGCGAGAACACCAGGCCUUGCUCACCCCCGAGGAGGCUCUACAUUGUUAAGAAAACCAGAUAGCUGCUCUGGGCUGCCUAGGCCGCCCUAGAAAUAACCCUCCGCUUGCUUUCAACCCGCGAAAUUGGCCCCACAGCUCCGGAGGCCCGCUACGGGGUGGGGGCGGGGGGCGCGGUUAGUGGGAGGUAUCUCCAGACCGCUGAUGAAUACCAUCCCCACCGUCUCAAGGCCUGACUCACCGAGUUAAAGCAU